rnacentral:rRNA from 1 species
AAAUAGAACUUUGCAGAGAGAGUUAACAGGGCGUGAAACCGUUGAUUGGCAAACGAAUCGGAGCCACGAAGUCGUUUCGUCGUUAGUUGGGCGGAGUUCAGUUCGCGCCGAAAGACGCGGGCGUAUUCUCACGCUCAUCCAACUUUGUAAGCGUACACUGCAACUUGUUAGACGAUCAGCUGUGGGCUGAGUGUCGUUGUUCGCUCGCGGUAGUAGUAGUGCAACUGACUUCGGUCUUUUGUGUUGCUGGCCGCGUGGCGGGUGAACUACAGCUGAAUACUGACAGGCGAAAUGAAAACCGUUUAAAAACGUUAGAGAAAAUGCGGUUGGCCACAUGGAUGUUUACACGUUCGACUGUUAGGUCUAAGCUUGGCAUUUUUGAAUUCAGACCUGCUUGCUACCAGUGGGGCAACUCCUGGUGCUUGUAUGGCUUCUGUCUAAUCGGGUGUCGACUUGGCUUGGCAUUGUUCGGGCGUGAAUCGUUUGAAUGUUCAUGUGAACCAAUUCGCAAUUUGAAUUGGCAGUGAGUAGGUCGGCUUUCCGAACGACCCGUCUUGAAACACGGACCAAGGAGUCUAAUUAGGCAUCGAGUCGAUCGGUCUUGAAUAGGCCAGAAGGAGGUGUUACCUCGAUUGAAGGCGUAGAGACAAUCGUGUGAUGGUUUUGGCAAAACAGCCACUGCCCGCAACAUGUGCCUGUUCGUAUAACAAUGUAGCAAUAUUGUUGGGCGGAGCAAAGAGAUGCUUGAUUGGGACCCGAAAGAUGGUGAGCCUGGGCAAAUUGAAGCCAGAGGAAACUCUGGUGGAGGAUUGUAGCGAUUCUGACGUGCAAAUCGAUCGUCAGACCUGGGUAUAGGGGCGAAAGACUAAUCGAACCAUC